UGGGGAAUCUUGGACAAUGGGGGCAACCCUGAUCCAGCCAUGCCGCGUGAGUGAUGAAGGCCUUAGGGUCGUAAAGCUCUUUCGCCUGUGAAGAUAAUGACGGUAGCAGGUAAAGAAACCCCGGCUAACUCCGUGCCAGCAGCCGCGGUAAUACGGAGGGGGUUAGCGUUGUUCGGAAUUACUGGGCGUAAAGCGCACGUAGGCGGACCAGAAAGUUGGGGGUGAAAUCCCGGGGGCUCAACCCCGGAACUGCCUCCAAAACUAUUGGUCUAGAGUUCGAGAGAGGUGAGUGGAAUUCCAAGUGUAGAGGUGAAAUUCGUAGAUAUUUGGAGGAACACCAGUGGCGAAGGCGGCUCACUGGCUCGAUACUGACGCUGAGGUGCGAAAAGUGUGGGGAGCAAAACAGGAUUAGAUACCCCUGGUAGUCCACACCGUAAAACGAUGAAUGCCAGUCGUCGGGGUAGCAUGCUAUUCGGUGACACACCUAACGGAUUAAGCAUUCCG
rnacentral:rRNA from 1 species